GCAGUCGAACGAUGAAGGGAAGCUUGCUUCUUGGAUUAGUGGCGAACGGGUGAGUAACACGUGAGUAACCUGCCCUUGACUCUGGGAUAAGCACUGGAAACGGUGUCUAAUACCGGAUACGAACUUCCACCGCAUGGUGAGGAGUUGGAAAGAAUUUUGGUCAAGGAUGGACUCGCGGCCUAUCAGCUAGUUGGUGAGGUAAUGGCUCACCAAGGCGACGACGGGUAGCCGGCCUGAGAGGGUGACCGGCCACACUGGGACUGAGGCACGGCCCAGACUCCUACGGGAGGCAGCAGUGGGGAAUAUUGCACAAUGGGCGCAAGCCUGAUGCAGCAACGCCGCGUGAGGGACGAAGGCCUUCGGGUUGUAAACCUCUUUUAGUAGGGAAGAAGCGUAAAAGUGACGGUACCUGCAGAAAAAGCACCGGCUAACUACGUGCCAGCAGCCGCGGUAAUACGUAGGGUGCAAGCGUUAUCCGGAAUUAUUGGGCGUAAAGAGCUCGUAGGCGGUUUGUCGCGUCUGCUGUGAAAUCUGGGGGCUCAACCCCCAGCCUGCAGUGGGUACGGGCAGACUAGAGUGCGGUAGGGGAGAUUGGAAUUCCUGGUGUAGCGGUGGAAUGCGCAGAUAUCAGGAGGAACACCAAUGGCGAAGGCAGAUCUCUGGGCCGUAACUGACGCUGAGGAGCGAAAGCAUGGGGAGC
rnacentral:rRNA from 1 species